rnacentral:rRNA from 1 species
CACGUAGGGCGCAAGCGUUGUCCGGAAUUAUUGGGCGUAAAGAGCUCGUAGGCGGUCUGUUGCGUCCGCUGUGAAAACCCGGGGCUUAACCCUGGGCUGGCAGUGGAUACGGACAGACUAGAGGUAGGUAGGGGAGAAUGGAAUUCCCGGUGUAGCGGUGAAAUGCAUAGAUAUCGUAAGGAAGACCAGUGGCGAAGGCGGGUCUCUGGACAGUUCCUGACGCUGAGGCACGAAGGCCAGGGGAGCAAACGGG